GAUGAACGCUGGCGGCGUGCCUAAUACAUGCAAGUCGAGCGAAGCGGGGCGGGGUGAGAAACACGUGGAUAACCUCCUAUAAGAAUGGGAUAACUUCGGGAAACCGGUGCUAAAACGGAAAAUGAUAGAUGGAUCAGCGCUGCAUAAGCUAGUUGGUAAGGUAACGGCUUACCAAGGCAAAGAUGCAUAGCCGACCUGAGGGGGUAAUCGGCUACACGGGAACUGAGACACGGUCCAGACUCCUACGGGAGGCAGCAGUAGGGAAUCUUCCGCAAUGGGCGAAAGCCUGACGGAGCAACGCCGCGUGAGUGAGGAAGGUCUUCGGAUCGUAAAACUCUGUUAUUGGGAAGCGGUACCUAAUCAGAAAGCCACGGCUAACUACGUGCCAGCAGCCGCGGUAAUUC
rnacentral:rRNA from 1 species